CUUGGGGAGCAUAGUGUCCAGGAAAGCACCUCCCCUCAGCUCUGAUGCAAUGGCACAAGUGUUCUGCCAGGAGGAAAGGCAGCCCAUAAGGACAAAGAGCUUCAGACCCGUGCUUGAGGACACAGACUUUACUGGAAGGGAGCCCGGAGAACUGCCUAAGGGUGUGUGGAAAACUACAGAGGCCUUGAUGUAGCGCAAUUAAGAGGAGCUUAGUAGUUCCAAGGUGCAGCAAAAUGACAGAACAACUGGGAGAGUAACAGAGAACCAUGGAAAGAGAGAAGAGCCUUCCCAAAAGCUCACUCAAGUCCAGGGGUCAGGAAGGCUGUGCACAUGUACCUGGCUGCUGGGGGCAAAACUGAAAACAUCCCCAGCCACGCAGAGGCCUUUUGAUGCAGGACAGAUGCCUCAUCAGCACAGAGGCCUUCAGCAGGUCCUCUGACCAAACACUGACCGAACAAUGAACUACAGUGAGGUGGGAUAAUGCCUAGGAAGCCAGGAUUGGAAAUAAAACCACACUCGUCUCCAGGAGCUGGGGAGAAGCCCAGCGAGUUUCAAUAGGACAGUUUCUACCUGCUGUGAUGCUAAAUGUGCCAAUUCCUUAUUUGCACGAGGAAGAAACCAGCUGGGAAUUUUGGAUACACAAGCUCCUUUUCCCCAUAUCCUUGAGGCUGCCAUGAGCCUUUUCACCACCUGACUCUCACCCUGAAGAGUGUGUUGCCACCUGCAAUAAAUGAACAACCUCAUUGCCUUUUCUGUGUGUCUUGUCUAAUUCUUUGUAUGCAGUGCCAAGAACCUUGAAAGAAAUCCUGCAGGACCCACCACUGGGCAAUUUUUGUACGUAUGGAGCCCCCAAAUGUAGCCUUAUUUGGAAGUAGGGCCUCUGAAGAUAUAAUUUGUUAAGAUGAAGUUAUAAGAUUAUUAUGGAUUUGGGCCAGGGAUUUAGCAAAAGCAAAAGGCCCUGAGUUGAAACCCCAGUACCAAAAAAAAAAAAAAAAAAGAUUAUUAUGAAUCCAUGCCUGGCAUAGUGGGACAUGCCUGCAAUCCCAGCACUUAGGACGCUGAGGCAGGAGAAUUGCAAAUUUGAGGCCAGACUGGGGCACUUAGUAAGAUCCUAUUUCAAAAUUUUUAAAUGUUAAAAGGGCUGAAGAUGUAGUUCAGAGAUACCACAGGCUGGGUUUGAGAGUCCCCAAGGCUGAAAUAAGGAAUCUAACCCACCCCUGUAACAGAGGUACGAAGGUUCGCUGACUCCCGUCUCAGAAAAAGAAUUUUCAGGCCUGGUCAGAAAAAGAGGAAUGAGAAGAGUUUAUUAGAGGGAGAAACAGGACACACUCAAAGGUGGACUGGGGGUGCUCAAGGAGGAGGCACGAUACAGGCCAGGGUAGGGCACACUGAAAGGCUGUCCUCAAUAUGCAUGGACUCAGAUGUGCACUCUCACAGUCUGCUAGGUUACAGUGCAAGCCCUCUACAUGGGUUUGGAGUGGAGAUAUGCGUGUGAAGUUAAGACAUGCCGUCCCCAGUGCAGCUGCUUUCUGGGCUGGAGGAAAGGGUAGUGUGCAGGUGAAAAGGGUCUUUAGGAAUUUAACACUAUUCUCUGUAAGGAUGGAGGAACAGAGUCACAUGCUAGGAUGGCCUCCAGGUGCAGGAAAAGAGCUUGUCUAGAAGCUGCAGUUUUUCUUAAAAGUACAAUUUUAAAAUCUCAAUUUCUUGGUCUCCUUUCUACCUAGUUUUAUUUCUUCUAUCCUACCUCAAGAUCCUGUUUCAAAAUUUAAAAAUGUUAUAAUAGCUAAGGAUGUAGCUUAAUGCAAAGGUCC
rnacentral:lncRNA from 1 species